UACAGAGACUGCAAGCGUUAUUCGGAUUCACUGGGCGUAAAGGGUGCGCAGGCGGCCGGGUGUGUCAGAUGUGAAAUCCCGAGGCUCAACCUCGGAACUGCGUCUGAAACUACUCGGCUAGAGUAUUGGAGAGGGUAACGGAAUUCACGGUGUAGCAGUGAAAUGCGUAGAUAUCGUGAGGAACACCAGAGGCGAAGGCGGUUACCUGGACAGUUACUGACACUGAGGCACGAAGGCCAGGGGAGCAAACAGG
rnacentral:rRNA from 1 species